AUCCAACUGACGAGUCUCAAACAGGACGAAACGCGCAUCCUGGAU
rnacentral:hammerhead_ribozyme from 1 species